GGCGUGGCGGGUCUAUAAUGCAGUCGACGAAGAGUGUAGCAAUACUCUCUUAGUGGCGAAUGGGUGCGUAACACGUGGGUGACCUGCCCCGAAGUGUGGAAUAACAGUUCGAAAGAACUGCUAAUACCGCAUGUGGUCCCGGUUUUUAGAAAGCCGGGUCUAAAGUCCCCCCUUUGGGGAGACGCUUCGGGAGGGGCCUGCGGUCCAUCAGCUAGUUGGUAGGGUAAUGGCCUACCAAGGCGACGACGGAUAGGGGACCUGAGAGGGUGACCCCCCACACUGGCACUGAAACACGGGCCAGACGCCUACGGGUGGCAGCAGUAAGGAAUAUUGCACAAUGGGCGAAAGCCUGAUGCAGCAACGCCGCGUGCGCGAUGAAGGCCUUCGGGUCGUAAAGCGCUUUUAGGGAGGAUGAGGAAGGACAGUACUCCCAGAAUAAGGUACGGCUAACUACGUGCCAGCAGCCGCGGUAAAACGUAGGUACCGAGCGUUAUCCGGAUUCACUGGGCGUAAAGCGCGUGCAGGUGGUUUGGUAAGUCGGGCAUGAAAACUCUUGGCUCAACUGAGAGAAGCUGUCCGAUACUGCCAGACUUGAGGGUGUGAGAGGGAGGUGGAAUUCCGCGUGUAGUGGUGAAAUGCGUAGAUAUGCGGAGGAACACCAGUGGCGAAGGCGGCCUCCUGGCACACUCCUGACACUCAGACGCGAAAGCUAGGGGAGCGAACGGGAUUAGAAACCCCGGUAGUCCUAGCCGUAAACGAUGAUUACUAGGUGUUAGUGGUAUCAAGCCACUAGUGCCGAAGCAAACGCGAUAAGUAAUCCGCCUGGGGACUACGAUCGCAAGAUUAAAACUCAAAGGAAUUGACGG
rnacentral:rRNA from 1 species